GUGUCAGCAGCCGCGGUAAUACGUAGGGGGCAAGCGUUGUCCGGAUUUAUUGGGCGUAAAGAGCGUGUAGGCGGCUGGGUAGGUCCGUUGUGAAAACUCGAGGCUCAACCUCGAGACGCCGAUGGAAACCCUCCAGCUAGAGUCCGGAAGAGGAGAGUGGAAUUCCUGGUGUAGCGGUGAAAUGCGCAGAUAUCAGGAAGAACACCCGUGGCUAAGGCGGCUCUCUAGUACGGUACUGACGCUGAGACGCGAAAGCGUGGGGAGCGAACAGGAUUAGAUACCCCGGUAGUCC
rnacentral:rRNA from 1 species